rnacentral:ncRNA from 2 species
GCCUUCGAGGAGCGUUGCGACGGGUUCCCGCCCGCCAGGCUCGAAGGUGGUCAAUUCGAAGAGUCAGUGCAUCAAGCGUUUGCUCUUCGUAUCGAACGGCGCUCACGUCAA